UACGUAGGGACCGAGCGUUGUCCGGAAUCAUUGGGCGUAAAGAGCUCGUAGGCGGUCUGUCGCGUCGGCUGUGAAAACCCGGGGCUCAACCCCGGGCCUGCAGUCGAUACGGGCAGACUAGAGUGCGGUAGGGGAGACUGGAAUUCCUGGUGUAGCGGUGAAAUGCGCAGAUAUCAGGAGGAACACCGGUGGCGAAGGCGGGUCUCUGGGCCGUAACUGACGCUGAGGAGCGAAAGCGUGGGGAGCGAACAGG
rnacentral:rRNA from 1 species